rnacentral:rRNA from 1 species
ACGGCUCAGUAACACGUCGAUAAUCUACUUAUGGUUCAAGAUAACCUUGGGAAACUGAGGCUAAACUGGGAUACGAGAAAAAGGCUGGAAUGCAUUUUCUCUGAAACGCAAGGCCAUAAGAUGAGUUGGCGGCUGAUUAGGUUGUUGGUGAGGUAAUGGCUCACCAAGCCAGAGAUCAGUAGGGGGGAUGAGAGUCCUAGCCCCGAGAAGGGCACUGAGAUACUGGCCCUAGUCCUAAGGGAUGCAGCAGGCGCGAAAACUUUCCAAUGCACGAAAGUGUGAGAAGGGAACCCAAAGUGCUAAUGCUUUGCAUUGGCUUUUGCUAAGUGUAAAUAGCUUGGCGAAUAAGUGGUGGGUAAUACCGGUGCCAGCCGCCGCGGUAACACCGGAGCCACGAGUGGGAAUCACAUUUAUUGGGUCUAAAGCAUCUGUAGCCGGUUUAAUAAGUUUCUCGUGAAAUCGUUCAGCUUAACUGAACGGCGAGCGAGAAAUACUGUUAGACUUGGAACCGGGAGGAGGUAGGAGUAUUUCAAGGGGAGCGGUAAAAUGCUAUAAUCCCUGAAAGACUACCUGUGGCGAAGGCGUCUAGCUAGAACGGGUCUGACGGUGAGGGACGAAGCCCUGGGGCGCAAACGGGAUUAGAUACCCCGGUAGUCCAGGGUGUAAACGCUGCUUGCUUGAUGUUAGUCUGGCUCCGAGCCAGAUUAGUGUCGGAGAGAAG